AUUGCUUUUCGGUCUUUUGGUUAAGAUCAAGUGUGGUGUCUAUUCUUAUUAAUUUAAUAUCUGGUAUGUUCUGUAAAUGGAAGUGUUGUUUCAAACAAUUUUUUUUUUUUUUUUUAGGAUAGGGAUCUGGGAUAGGGGUUUGCUCCUAUCAACCUGAUGCUGUAGUAUCUUCAGGAAUAAUGCCU